GCCCACAUAGCUCAGGCGGUAGAGCACAUUCUUGGUAAGAAUGAGGUCGGCGGUUCAAGUCCGCCUGUGGGCUCCA
rnacentral:tRNA from 1 species